ensembl:lncRNA
AAAGUUGUUACAGUGAAGAAGAAAAGGUAUAAUUUUAUGAGUUUGUAUCUGAAAGUUAAGAGAGUUGCAAAAUAAAAGCUUUCCUCUGUGAAACGUUCAGCUCAGACUUGGACUCGGGGUCAAAAGGAUACAGUAAUUAUUACAAUGACAUUGUUACAGUUAUUAUUACACCCAAUAAACAAAGUGAUGAACUUUUAAAAUAGUGUCAUAUGGUCCCUUUAAUUGAAGUAUGCUAACAGAACUGUGUAGCACUGACAUUUCUGCUCUCCAUUUUAGUCAAAACAAAAAAUGUAUUAUUAUUUAGAUCAGUCAAAUAUUUGUUAAAAUAUAUUUAGUCUCAUAUAUUAAUUACUUUAAAGAAAUUGUUAAACAUAUGUGAGCCUGUAAACAAGAAUGGCUGCUAUCUUUAAAACUCUGCAAACAUUUCUGUGAAGGACUAGAGAGAAUGUGUGUCAAUAUAAAACACAGAAUUUAGGGGGGCUGGGCAGAAGUUUAGGGGAAGGGCUGAAGCCCCCCUAAAAAGGGCCUAGUGAUGCCCCUGCAUGGCAGUAUAUUUGUAGCAUAUUUAAUUUUAUGUUUACUGCUUAAUAACUCAAAGAUUCAGCACUAGUUAUUUUCUUCAUCAUUUCUUCCUCUGAACUAUCAUGAUCUUGAUCUCAUUGUCAUGUCCAGGUCGUGAUGAGCAUCUGAUCGUCUUCAGAGACACAAAGAUCUCAGUGUUGAGCUGUUCAUCUGCAGUAUGUCAGAGAAGAGAGGAAAGAUGAGUCUCUCACAGAAACAGAGUGUAAGAUCAGGAUCACAUGUGUCUGUGAAGAGUGACCGGUCAAAGGAUGAUCCACUAAACUUCAGUGAAGAAACAGCAUCACGAACCAAACAGCUUCAGUAUGAAACAUUAGAUCCAGAUUUACAGUCUCACAGGAACCACAAGAAUUUUACAGACAGUCUCCUGCAGAUCUUCCAGGUAAUAAAACACAUUUUCAAGAAUAUUUAAUUUAAUAAUUAUAAUAAACAAAUAUGUUAUUGAAUAAGAGUGUGACA